AACAAAACAUCAUGUAAUCAUACAUUGGGCACAAAACUCACAUAAACCCUAUCAUGCAUAUCUACCCAAACACAUACAUCAAAUCUCCUUAAAACUUACUUAAAACUCAUUAAAACAUAAAGAAAAGCAGAGAUCUACACUAACCUCUUGGAGAUCAAGGGUUGGUGUGACCCGAACCUUGGAGAUGUGGAGGAAACUAGCUCCGGGGUCUCCAAGCUCCAAAUCCUAGAUCCAAGCUUAAAACUCUUCAAAACCAAGGAUAAAACUCA
rnacentral:lncRNA from 1 species